GACGAACGCUGGCGGCGUACUUAACACAUGCAAGUCGAACGGAAAGGCCCUGCUUUUGUGGGGUGCUCGAGUGGCGAACGGGUGAGUAACACGUGAGUAACCUGCCCUUGACUUUGGGAUAACUUCAGGAAACUGGGGCUAAUACCGGAUAGGAGCUCCUGCUGCAUGGUGGGGGUUGGAAAGUUUCGGCGGUUGGGGAUGGACUCGCGGCUUAUCAGCUUGUUGGUGGGGUAGUGGCUUACCAAGGCUUUGACGGGUAGCCGGCCUGAGAGGGUGACCGGCCACAUUGGGACUGAGGUACGGCCCAGACUCCUACGGGAGGCAGCAGUGGGGAAUAUUGCACAAUGGGCGGAAGCCUGGUGCAGCAACGCCGCGUGCGGGAUGACGGCCUUCGGGUUGUAAACCGCUUUCGCCUGUGACGAAGCGUGAGUGACGGUAAUGGGUAAAGAAGCACCGGCUAACUACGUG
rnacentral:rRNA from 1 species